rnacentral:snRNA from 1 species
GGAUGUGAGGGGGAACUGUCCUUAACUUUUGUCACCCCAAUGCUCUCCAUGAUGGAACUGCAUGGCCUGACUGGCCACACUUGUGUCACCUUUCUUGCAGUUUCAUUCUCAAUCCAUCCAAAGAGAAAAAGUUUUCCAGAGAGAGAAGAAGCCGGUUCUUCAGUCAAGAGUAGGAAGUGGCUGGUUUCAUCAGCAAGAAAUUCUAAGUAAGUUCUCCAGAUCCACAUGAAGACCCUAACAGAGUCAAGCCUAACAGCAACAAUAAAAGGAAAAGACAUAUAAAUGACCUCAUUA